GAUGAACGCUGGCGGCGUGCCUAAUACAUGCAAGUCGAGCGAACAGACGAGGAGCUUGCUCCUCUGACGUUAGCGGCGGACGGGUGAGUAACACGUGGAUAACCUACCUAUAAGACUGGGAUAACUUCGGGAAACCGGAGCUAAUACCGGAUAAUAUAUUGAACCGCAUGGUUCAAUAGUGAAAGACGGUUUUGCUGUCACUUAUAGAUGGAUCCGCGCCGCAUUAGCUAGUUGGUAAGGUAACGGCUUACCAAGGCAACGAUGCGUAGCCGACCUGAGAGGGUGAUCGGCCACACUGGAACUGAGACACGGUCCAGAAUCCUACGGGAGGCAGCAGUAGGGAAUCUUCCGCAAUGGGCGAAAGCCUGACGGAGCAACGCCGCGUGAGUGAUGAAGGUCUUCGGAUCGUAAAACUCUGUUAUUAGGGAAGAACAAAUGUGUAAGUAACUAUGCACGUAUUGACGGUACCUAAUCAGAAAGCCACGGCUAACUACGUG
rnacentral:rRNA from 1 species